GACGAACGCUGGCGGCGUGCUUAACACAUGCAAGUCGAACGGAAAGGCCCCUUUGGGGGUACUCGAGUGGCGAACGGGUGAGUAACACGUGAGUAACCUGCCCUUGACUUCGGGAUAACUUCAGGAAACUGGGGCUAAUACCGGAUAGGAAUCCUUGCUGCAUGGUGGGGGUUGGAAAGCUUCGGCGGUUUUGGAUGGACUCGCGGCUUAUCAGCUUGUUGGUGGGGUAGUGGCUUACCAAGGCUUUGACGGGUAGCCGGCCUGAGAGGGCGACCGGCAACAUUGGGACUGAGAUACGGCCCAGACUCCUACGGGAGGCAGCAGUGGGGAAUAUUGCACAAUGGGCGGAAGCCUGAUGCAGCAACGCCGCGUGCGGGAUGACGGCCUUCGGGUUGUAAACCGCUUUCAGCAGGGGCGAAGCUUGUGGUGACGGUACCUGCAGAAGAAGCACCGGCUAACUACGUG
rnacentral:rRNA from 1 species